AUGGCAUGCUUUAGAAGUGCUCAAAAGGGCGUCUCCGCGGCCUACAGGCUGCGGUAACCCCUAGUCCCUGCCUUGACUGGGACAGACUAUUGCAAUUAUUGGUCUCAAACGAGGAAUUUUUAGUAGUCGCAGGUCAUUAACCUGCGACGAAUGCGUCCCUGCCCUUUGUAA
rnacentral:rRNA from 1 species